rnacentral:rRNA from 1 species
GGAUUCUUUCGGGAUGAAACUUUAAAUGUCUUAGCGGCGGACGGGUGAGUAACGCGUGAGAAACCUGCCUUUCACAAAGGGAUAGCCUCGGGAAACUGGGAUUAAUACCUUAUGAUACUUAACUACCGCAUGGUAGAGAAGUUAAAGCGUAAAGCGGUGAAAGAUGGUCUCGCGUCCCAUUAGUUAGUUGGUGAGGUAAAGGCUCACCAAGACUACGAUGGGUAGCCGGCCUGAGAGGGUGAACGGCCACACUGGAACUGAGACACGGUCCAGACUCCUACGGGAGGCAGCAGUGGGGAAUAUUGCACAAUGGAGGAAACUCUGAUGCAGCGACGCCGCGUGAAUGAUGAAGGCCUUCGGGUCGUAAAAUUCUGUCCUAGGGGACGAUAAUGACGGUACCCUAGGAGGAAGCCCCGGCUAACUACGUGCCAGCAGCCGCGGUAAUACGUAGGGGGCGAGCGUUGUCCGGAAUUAUUGGGCGUAAAGGGUUCGCAGGCGGUCUUUUAAGUCAGAUGUGAAAGGCUACGGCUCAACCGUGGUAAGCAUUUGAAACUGAAAGACUUGAGUUAAGGAGAGGAAAGUGGAAUUCCUAGUGUAGCGGUGAAAUGCGUAGAUAUUAGGAGGAAUACCAGUGGCGAAGGCGACUUUCUGGACUUAUACUGACGCUGAGGAACGAAAGCGUGGGGAGCAAACAGGAUUAGAUACCCUGGUAGUCCACGCCGUAAACGAUGAGUGCUAGGUGUUGGGGGUCAAACCUCGGUGCCGCAGCUAACGCAUUAAGCACUCCGCCUGGGGAGUACGUACGCAAGUAUGAAACUCAAAGGAAUUGACGGGGGACCCGCACAAGCAGCGGAGCAUGUGGUUUAAUUCGAAGCAACGCGAAGAACCUUACCAGGGCUUGACAUGCCACUGACCG